rnacentral:lncRNA from 1 species
CAUAGCAUAGGAUCAUUUCGCAUUCGCCAAUAAUAAACUUUCUGGAUAUGCAGAAAGGAUGAAAUACCUAGGUGCGUAUAUACCUGUAUAGCUAGAAAUUUUGGGGUGGCCCUUCUCUGGAGGAAAAUGGGUCAUCCGAAGCAAAAGAUGAUCCACUUCCUCCAAAGCCUGAUAGGGGCAUUGAUUGAACAGUUGAUAUAGCAGUGGCCGUCAAAGGACUUAUUCUACGAGAUGUUCGGUAUGUAACACCAAGGAGAGCACCACCAUGCAAGCCAACAACCUGCAAGAACACGCAACCAUGCAAACAUCCAAAUUAGCAUUUGCAUACCACCUUAUGUUUCAGCAACGAUGUAUGCAAGACAACUACAAC